rnacentral:rRNA from 1 species
GCGAAUGGAUUCAGAGCUUGCUCUUAUGAAGUUAGCGGCGGACGGGUGAGUAACACGUGGGUAACCUGCCCAUAAGACUGGGAUAACUCCGGGAAACCGGGGCUAAUACCGGAUAACAUUUUGAACCGCAUGGUUCGAAAUUGAAAGGCGGCUUCGGCUGUCACUUAUGGAUGGACCCGCGUCGCAUUAGCUAGUUGGUGAGGUAACGGCUCACCAAGGCAACGAUGCGUAGCCGACCUGAGAGGGUGAUCGGCCACACUGGGACUGAGACACGGCCCAGACUCCUACGGGAGGCAGCAGUAGGGAAUCUUCCGCAAUGGACGAAAGUCUGACGGAGCAACGCCGCGUGAGUGAUGAAGGCUUUCGGGUCGUAAAACUCUGUUGUUAGGGAAGAACAAGUGCUAGUUGAAUAAGCUGGCACCUUGACGGUACCUAACCAGAAAGCCACGGCUAACUACGUGCCAGCAGCCGCGGUAAUACGUAGGUGGCAAGCGUUAUCCGGAAUUAUUGGGCGUAAAGCGCGCGCAGGUGGUUUCUUAAGUCUGAUGUGAAAGCCCACGGCUCAACCGUGGAGGGUCAUUGGAAACUGGGAGACUUGAGUGCAGAAGAGGAAAGUGGAAUUCCAUGUGUAGCGGUGAAAUGCGUAGAGAUAUGGAGGAACACCAGUGGCGAAGGCGACUUUCUGGUCUGUAACUGACACUGAG